rnacentral:rRNA from 1 species
AUUGAACGCUGGCGGCAUGCUUUACACAUGCAAGUCGAACGGUAGGGUAGCAAUACCUGAGAGUGGCGAACGGGUGAGUAAUGCAUCGGAACAUGCCUAUUUGUGGGGGAUAGCCCGGCGAAAGCCGGAUUAAUACCGCAUACGAUCUACGGAUGAAAGCUGGGGACCGCAAGGCCUAGCGCAAAUAGAGUGGCCGAUGUCAGAUUAGCUAGUUGGUGGGGUAAAGGCUCACCAAGGCAACGAUCUGUAGCUGGUCUGAGAGAACGACCAGCCACACUGGGACUGAGACACGGCCCAGACUCCUACGGGAGGCAGCAGUGGGGAAUUUUGGACAAUGGGCGCAAGCCUGAUCCAGCAAUGCCGCGUGCAGGAUGAAGGCCUUCGGGUUGUAAACUGCUUUUGUAGGGAACGAAACGGCUCUGGUUAAUACCCGGGGCUAAUGACGGUACCGUAAGAAUAAGCACCGGCUAACUACGUGCCAGCCGCCGCAGUAAAAC